rnacentral:lncRNA from 1 species
AAUAAACAGCAUGAGCAAGUUUGUUGGCCUGGGGGUGGAGGGGUGAGGUGGGCGCUAAGCCUUUUUUUAAGAUUUUUCAGGUACCCCUCAAUAAAGGCACCCGAAGGCUUAAAGUAGGACAACCCUGGCGCCUUCCUGUGGCAAGAGAGACAACAAAGCGCUAUUAAACUAAGGUCAAUCUAAGUGGUGUCAGCCUCACAACCCCACCUUCGGUUAGACAUGAGGACUUGCCUCAACUGCCUCUGGGGAGUGAAGCAUCCAAAGGAAUGCCUGCGUACCUUGCGUACCCCCGGCCUGUGUAACGCCUCCCUGGGCUGUUUUUAGAGCAGCCCUUGAUGAAGCCCAGACCUGAGUGGUGCUUGAAGGGGAGGGAAAGGGGGAAAGCGGGCAACCACUUCUCCCUAGCUUUUCCAGAAACCUGUUAAAAAGCAAGGUCUCCCCACAAGUGACUUCUCUGCCACAUCGUCACCCCCUGCCUUUGGCCUAGCGCAGACCCUUCACCCCUCACCUCGAUGCUGUCGGUAGCUUGGAUCCUUGUGGGCAUGAUCCAUAAGCAGUUUAAGGUAACUGGUGCCGAGGUCUUGGGUGGGUUGCACUGUUAGAAAAGACCGUUAAUUUGCCUGUAAACGUUUAAUGACAUUAAGACCACAACUAAAAAGCUCUCAGAUGUUUUAAAUGUGUAGCAUUAUUUCUGUCCAGUGCUGAAAACAAACUUGAACCAGUAAAUGGAGAAAUAACAUGUAAGAACUAUACUGUUGGGUGGGAAUGCAAAAACUCUCUGCUAAGACUUUUUCAGGUGAACAUAACAGACUUGGCCAAGCUAGCAUCUUAGCUGAAGCAGAUUCUCCAGUGCUCUUCAGUAGGGUCUUAAAAUUUAAAGGUUUUGCUUUUUGGCCUUUACCUAGCUUUAAAAAAAAAAGCAAAAGAUGCUGGUGGUUGGCACUCCUGGCUUCCAGGACAGGGUUCAAAUCCCUGCGGCGUCUUUGCUUGACUUUUACUUCUGCCUUUCCGUUUUCCUCCUUUUUCUUCAGAUGAAGUUAGGGGAAGUAGAAGUAGCUUCAAACUAUACUAUACCUCUUGAUUGAAUUUGUUGUCCUAAACUGGUUUGUGUUUGUAUUUUCACAGGAAUCUAGUGUAAUUACUUUGCCCUUUUAAUUUUCAGGUAUCUCUCAUGCAUCUGUUGUUUGGAGCAGUCUCACUAUUUUUAAAAAUAGAUGACAUAUUAAUAAAGGUUGAAAAACUUCAUUGGUGUGAUUCUUU